AGUCGAGCGGAGUGGAGCAAUCCACUCAGCGGCGGACGGGUGAGUAACACGUGGAUAACCUGCCUCAAGCAUGGGAAUAACAGUUGGAAACGACUGCUAAUGCCCAAUAAACUCUCGAGAUGGCAUCAUCAUGAGAGAAAAGGAAUCUGGCUUGAGAGGGGUCCGCGUCUGAUUAGCUAGUUGGCGGGGUAACGGCCCACCAAGGCGACGAUCAGUAGCCGGCCUGAGAGGGUGAACGGCCACAUUGGGACUGAGACACGGCCCAAACUCCUACGGGAGGCAGCAGUGGGGAAUAUUGCGCAAUGGGCGAAAGCCUGACGCAGCAACGCCGCGUGAAGGAAGAAGGCCUUCGGGUUGUAAACUUCUAUCGCCGGGGACGAAAAAAAUGACGGUACCCGAGUAAGAAGCACCGGCUAAAUACGUGCCAGCAGCCGCGGUAAUACGUAUGGUGCAAGCGUUAUCCGGAAUUACUGGGCGUAAAGGGUGAGUAGGCGGCCAUUUAAGUCAUACGUGAAAUCCCCGGGCCUAACCCGGGAAUCGCGUAAGAAACUGGAAGGCUAGAGUGCAGGAGAGGUAAGCGGAAUUCCUAGUGUAGCGGUGAAAUGCGUAGAUAUUAGGAAGAACACCAGUGGCGAAG
rnacentral:rRNA from 1 species